AUGUCAUCAUUAUACCAGAAAAUUUUCAACGAUGGAUAUCUGGGUUCCCAUAACGAUGAAGAACGCAGCGAAAUGCGAUACGCAAUGCGAAUAGCAGAUCUGCGAGACAUUAGAUUUUCGAACGCACUUGGCGCUAGUUUACUAGCAUGUUUGUUUCAGUGU
rnacentral:rRNA from 1 species